rnacentral:rRNA from 1 species
UGAUCCUACGGGACGCAGCAGUGAGGAAUAUUGGUCAAUGGCCGGGAGGCUGAACCAGCCAAGUCGCGUGAGGGAAGACGGCCCUACGGGUUGUAAACCUCUUUUGUCAGGGAGCAAGGUGCAGGUCGGGACCUGCUGUGAGAGUACCUGAAGAAAAAGCAUCGGCUAACUCCGUGCCAGCAGCCGCGGUAAUACGGAGGAUGCGAGCGUUAUCCGGAUUUAUUGGGUUUAAAGGGUGCGCAGGCGGUCUGUUAAGUCAGCGGUCAAAGCCCGGGGCUCAACCCCGGCCCGCCGUUGAAACUGGC